UCAAACCCUAAGAAUGUGAGGAAUAGUGUAAAUUACCGUCCAGAGAGAAAGGCCAUAGCUGGAAGGCUUUUUCGGGAAAACACUAAAGGUCGCGCAGGAGGGGCAGAGAAGAACAGAGUAUUCUCUGACGGAAAAAACCCGUUAUUGUUUAACAAGCGCUGAGAAAGGCUGUGUUUCUCAGAAUAAAGGUGGUACCACGGAAGCUUUUCGUCCUUUGC
rnacentral:ncRNA from 1 species